AUUCCAGCUCCAAUAGCGUAUAUUAAAGUUGUUGCAGUUAAAAAGCUCGUAGUUGGAUUUCUGGACGGAGCAGCCGGUCCGCCGCUGUGCGGUGUGUACUCGUGCUUGACUCGGUUCAUCCUUGUGGGGAAGCGCAUUUCGGCAUUCAGUUGUCGAGGCGGGGAACCACAUCAUUUACUGUGAAAAAAUUAGAGUGUUUAAAGCAGGCAUUUUGCUGUGAAUACAUUAGCAUGGAAUAAUAACAUAGGACUUUGAUUCUAUUUUGUUGGUUGGAGAUCAAGGUAAUGAUUAAUAGGGAUAGUUGGGGGUAUUCAUAUUUAAUUGUCAGAGGUGAAAUUCUUGGAUUUAUGAAAGAUGAACUCAUGCGAAAGCAUUUACCAAGGAUGUUUUCAUUG
rnacentral:rRNA from 1 species